GACGAACGCUGGCGGCGUGCCUAAUACAUGCAAGUCGAGCGGACGGAUGGGAGCUUGCUCCCUGAAGUCAGCGGCGGACGGGUGAGUAACACGUGGGCAACCUGCCUGUAAGACUGGGAUAACUUCGGGAAACCGGAGCUAAUACCGGAUAAUGCAUAACCUCUCAUGAGGUUAUGCUGAAAGAUGGUUUCGGCUAUCACUUACAGAUGGGCCCGCGGCGCAUUAGCUAGUUGGUGAGGUAACGGCUCACCAAGGCAACGAUGCGUAGCCGACCUGAGAGGGUGAUCGGCCACACUGGGACUGAGACACGGCCCAGACUCC
rnacentral:rRNA from 3 species